CCUACGGGUGGCAGCAGUGGGGAAUAUUGGGCAAUGGGCGCAAGCCUGACCCAGCAACGCCGCGUGAAGGAAGAAGGCUUUCGGGUUGUAAACUUCUUUUAAGAGGGAAUAGCAGAAGACGGUACCUCUUGAAUAAGCCACGUCUAACUACGUGCCAGCAGCCGCGGUAAUACGUAGGUGGCAAGCGUUGUCCGGAUUUACUGGGUGUAAAGGGCCUGCAGCCUGGAAGACGAGUCAGAUGUGAAAUCCCGCGGCUCAACCGCGGAAAUGCAUGGGAAACUGUGUGUCUUGAGUACCGGAGAGGUCAUGGGAAUUCCUUGUGUAGCGGGAAAAUGCGUAGAUAUAAGGAAGAACACCAGUGGCGAAGGCGGAUGACUGGACGGCAACUGACGGUGAGGCGCGAAAGCGUGGGGAGCAAACAGGAUUAGAUACCCGUGUAGUC
rnacentral:rRNA from 1 species